GACGAACGCUGGCGGCGUGCUUAACACAUGCAAGUCGAACGGAAAGGCCCUGCUUUUGUGGGGUGCUCGAGUGGCGAACGGGUGAGUAACACGUGAGUAACCUGCCCUUGACUUUGGGAUAACUUCAGGAAACUGGGGCUAAUACCGGAUAGGAGCUCCUGCUGCAUGGUGGGGGUUGGAAAGUUUCGGCGGUUGGGGAUGGACUCGCGGCUUAUCAGCUUGUUGGUGGGGUAGUGGCUUACCAAGGCUUUGACGGGUAGCCGGCCUGAGAGGGUGACCGGCCACAUUGGGACUGAGAUACGGCCCAGACUCCUACGGGAGGCAGCAGUGGGGAAUAUUGCACAAUGGGCGGAAGCCUGAUGCAGCAACGCCGCGUGCGGGAUGACGGCCUUCGGGUUGUAAACCGCUUUCGCCUGUGACGAAGCGUGAGUGACGGUAAUGGGUAAAGAAGCACCGGCUAACUACGUGCCAGUAGCCGCGGUGAUACGUAGGGUGCGAGCGUUGUCCGGAUUUAUUGGGCGUAAAGGGCUCGUAGGUGGUUGAUCGCGUCGGAAGUGUAAUCUUGGGGCUUAACCCUGAGCGUGCUUUCGAUACGGGUUGACUUGAGGAAGGUAGGGGAGAAUGGAAUUCCUGGUGGAGCGGUGGAAUGCGCAGAUAUCAGGAGGAACACCAGUGGCGAAGGCGGUUCUCUGGGCCUUUCCUGACGCUGAGGAGCGAAAGCGUGGGGAGCGAACAGGCUUAGAUACCCUGGUAGUCCACGCUGUAAACGGUGGGUACUAGGUGUGGGGCCCAUUCCACGGGUUCCGUGCCGUAGCUAACGCUUUAAGUACCCCGCCUGGGGAGUACGGCCGCAAGGCUAAAACUCAAAGGAAUUGACGGGGCCCCGCACAAGCGGCGGAGCAUGCGGAUUAAUUCGAUGCAACGCGUAGAACCUUACCUGGGUUUGACAUGGAUCGGGAGUGCUCAGAGAUGGGUGUGCCUCUUUUGGGGUCGGUUCACAGGUGGUGCAUGGCUGUCGUCAGCUCGUGUCGUGAGAUGUUGGGUUAAGUCCCGCAACGAGCGCAACCCUUGUUCACUGUUGCCAGCACGUUAUGGUGGGGACUCAGUGGAGACCGCCGGGGUCAACUCGGAGGAAGGUGGGGAUGACGUCAAGUCAUCAUGCCCCUUAUGUCCAGGGCUUCACGCAUGCUACAAUGGCUGGUACAGAGAGUGGCGAGCCUGUGAGGGUGAGCGAAUCUCGGAAAGCCGGUCUCAGUUCGGAUUGGGGUCUGCAACUCGACCUCAUGAAGUCGGAGUCGCUAGUAAUCGCAGAUCAGCAACGCUGCGGUGAAUACGUUCCCGGG
rnacentral:rRNA from 1 species